GACGAACGCUGGCGGCGUGCUUAACACAUGCGAGUCGAACGGAAAGGCCCUGCUUUUGUGGGGUGCUCGGGUGGCGAACGGGUGAGUAACACGUGAGUAACCUGCCCUUGACUUUGGGAUAACUUCAGGAAACUGGGGCUAAUACCGGAUAGGAGCUCCUGCUGCAUGGUGGGGGUUGGAAAGUUUCGGCGGUUGGGGAUGGACUCGCGGCUUAUCAGCUUGUUGGUGGGGUAGUGGCUUACCAAGGCUUUGACGGGUAGCCGGCCUGAGAGGGUGACCGGCCACAUUGGGACUGAGAUACGGCCCAGACUCCUACGGGAGGCAGCAGUGGGGAAUAUUGCACAAUGGGCGGAAGCCUGAUGCAGCAACGCCGCGUGCGGGAUGACGGCCUUCGGGUUGUAAACCGCUUUCGCCUGUGACGAAGCGUGAGUGACGGUAAUGGGUAAAGAAGCACCGGCUAACUACGUG
rnacentral:rRNA from 1 species